rnacentral:tRNA from 1 species
GGCGAGAUCGCAUAGUGGUCUAGUGCAGCCGCCUUGAAAGCGGCCAGGUGUCAAAGCCUCCAGGGUUCGAAUCCCUGUCUCGCCGCCA